rnacentral:rRNA from 1 species
UACGUAGGGUGCGAGCGUUAAUCGGAAUUACUGGGCGUAAAGCGUGCGUAGGCGGUCCGCGAAGUCUGAUGUGAAAGCCCCGGGCUCAACCUGGGAACUGCAUUGGAAACUAACGGGCUCGAGUGUGGCAGAGGGGGGUGGAAUUCCACGUGUAGCAGUGAAAUGCGUAGAGAUGUGGAGGAACACCGAUGGCGAAGGCAGCCCCCUGGGCUAUAACUGACGCUCAUGCACGAAAGCGUGGGGAGCAAACAGG